rnacentral:lncRNA from 10 species
UAGAGACGGGGUUUCACCGUCUUAGCCAGGAUGGUCUCGAUCUCCUGACCUCGUGAUCCGCCCGCCUCGGCCUCCCAAAGUGCUAGGACUAACAGGCGUGAGCCACCGCACCCGGCCAAGCUGGAUCUUAAGCUUGCUUACCGGUGACUUGUUGACCUCAUCUUGGCUCAAAGAAGACACGGCCCCAGUUGGCUCCUAGACCCGUGUUGGAGCCACACUGCCCGGGACAGCCCUGAAGCAGCCACGUCCCCACCUUUCAGGAGUCGGCCAAGAGCACGGUGGCUGCAGAAGGCCCUGGCUGAUGGAGAUAACAUUUGACAAACAGGUGCUUUUCCAAUUAUGGAUAACAACAGAAAAGCAGUCAUUGGUUUCUAAAAGGUCAUCAAGAUAUAAAGCCCGUUUGGGAAGGGAAUGACUUACGCAGUGGGCUUGUAUAAAUCUGGAGAAGUUUUAUGCACAAGUCGGACAAGAAAUGCUAUUGAGAGUGAAAACAAGCACUGACAUGAACACCCAACCAGCUGCCGGUGACAUCGUCCCCUUCUGAGAUCUGAGGACAUGGAUACCCAACCACCUGCCGGUGACAUCGUCUCCUUCUGAGAUCUGAGGACAUGAACACCCAACCACCUGCCGGUGAUAUCGUCCCCUUCUGAGAUCUGAGGACGUGGAUAUCCAACCACCUGCCGGUGACAUUGUCUCCUUCUGAGAUCUGAGGACAUGGACACCAAACCACCUGCCGGUGACAUUGUCUCCUUCUGAGAUCUGAGGACAUGAACACCAAACCACCUGCCAGUGACAUCGUCCCCUUCUGAGAUCUGAGGACAUGGAUACCCAACCACCUGCCGGUGACAUCGUCUCCUUCUGAGAUCUGAGGACAUGGACACCCAACCACCUGCCGGUGACAUCGUCUCCUUCUGAGAUCUGAGGACAUGAACACCCAACCACCUGCCGGUGAUAUCGUCCCCUUCUGAGAUCUGAGGACGUGGAUAUCCAACCACCUGCCGGUGACAUUGUCUCCUUCUGAGAUCUGAGGACAUGGACACCAAACCACCUGCCGGUGACAUUGUCUCCUUCUGAGAUCUGAGGACAUGAACACCAAACCACCUGCCAGUGACAUCGUCCCCUUCUGAGAUCUGAGGACAUGGAUACCCAACCACCUGCCGGUGACAUCAUCUUCUUCUGAGAUCUGAGGACAUGGACACCCAACCACCUGCCGGUGACAUCGUCUCCUUCUGAGAUCUGAGGACAUGGACACCAAACCACCUGCCGGUGACAUCGUCUCCUUCUGAGAUCUGAGGACAUGAACACCCAACCACCUGCCGGUGAUAUCGUCCCCUUCUGAGAUCUGAGGACGUGGAUAUCCAACCACCUGCCGGUGACAUUGUCUCCUUCUGAGAUCUGAGGACAUGGACACCAAACCACCUGCUGGUGACAUUGUCUCCUUCUGAGAUCUGAGGACAUGAACACCAAACCACCUGCCAGUGACAUCGUCCCCUUCUGAGAUCUGAGGACAUGGAUACCCAACCACCUGCCGGUGACAUCAUCUUCUUCUGAGAUCUGAGGACAUGGACACCCAACCACCUGCCGGUGACAUCGUCUCCUUCUGAGAUCUGAGGACAUGGACACCAAACCACCUGCCGGUGACAUCGUCUCCUUCUGAGAUCUGAGGACAUGAACACCCAACCACCUGCCGGUGACAUCGUCCCCUUCUGAGAUCUGAGGACAUUGAUACCCAGCCACCUGCCGGUGACAUCGUCUCCUUCUGAGAUCUGAGGAUAUGGACACCAAACCACCUGCCGGUGACAUCGUCUCCUUCUGAGAUCUGAGGACAUGAACACCCAACCACCUGCCGGUGACAUCGUCCCCUUCUGAGAUCUGAGGACAUGGAUACCCAACCACCUGCCGGUGACAUCGUCUCCUUCUGAGAUCUGAGGACAUGGACACCCAACCUGCUGCUGGUGACAUCGUUCCCUUCUGAGAUCUGAGGACAUGGACACCAAACCACCUGCCAGUGACAUCGUCUCCUUCUGAGAUCUGAGGACAUGGACACCAAACCUGCUGCCGGUGACAUCGUCCCCUUCUGAGAUCUGAGGACAUGGACACCCAACCACCUGCCGGUGACAUCGUCUCCUUCUGAGGUCUGAGGACAGACACUCACAUGGACACCUAAACACCUGCCGAUGAUAUUGUCUCCUUCUGAAAUCUGAGGACAUGGACACCCAACCAGCUGCUGGUGACAUCAUCUCCUUCUGAGAUCUGAGGACAGACACUCACAUAGACGCCCAAUCAGCUGCUGGUGACAUUGUCUCCUUCUGAAAUCUGAGGGUUGGAACACAUUGGCCUGGCUCAGUGUUUCUCCAUGUGGUUUUGAGACCACCUGAGUUGGAACCGAUAUGGGUUCCCAGCCUCACGCCUGGAGAGCUGGAUUUUGCGAGUGUGAGGUUAGGUCCAGCAUCUGCAUGUGUAACGAGCUCCCAGGUGUUUCGUAGAUGCAUUAGGGCUUGAGAAGCUCCUUUCUAGCACCAUCUUCCUUUUUGCGCAUGAGGGAGUUCAGGUCCAGAGAAAUAAAGCAGCAAGGUUAGUGGCACAGCUGGCGCCCCCUGCUUUCUAGGAAUUUAGAAUAUUAUUGAAGAGAGAGGUAUUAGAACCUGUGAAGUCAAUACAGAGACCUCCAGGCGAGUGGCAUCCUCACUGAAACCACUGACAAGUAUGCUGAAUAGAAAGUGUCAUUUCUCCUGGAAGACCCUCAGUGACCCAGCUGGAGGGUCUCUCCUACUCAUCAGCUGUCCCUCACUCUGCCAUUUCAG